rnacentral:sRNA from 1 species
ACGCAACCGAGGAUCGCGCAUCUCAGCAGCUGCUGAUUUUAGGCAAAAGAAGCUGAUGCGCAUAGGAUCACCCUCCAGUUGGGCUGAAUUCUCUGGCUCUUAGCGCUCCGGCAACUCGGAAUCCCACAUUGGUAGCAGUGAUUCGAACUAUUCUUCAUCCCACUACAGUGGGCGCUCAAGGGGACGUGGCUUGCGGAUCAGCAACAUUGUGCAGGCCCAGAUCGAGCAACUCUUCACGGCCGUGGCCAAGGACGCCAUUUGUAGCUUCGAUGUCACUUGCCUGGGAUCACUACCGCAUCACUACAGACAAAGUGACGAGCCUGCAAGUGACGAGUUUGCAGGAGCCACUGCGUCAGCUGUAUCUGUCGGAGUGGGCCAAUAAGAAACUCAGCUUGGGCUCUUUGGAAAUCUGUGCCACGGGAC